AUUAUAUAUUCUCUAUCUGUACUUUUUAUUCUUAAAAUCCUGACUUUGAAGUUGUAUAUGGUAUUUCAAGUCAUCUGAAUGACACAUCCACAAAUUAACUCAAACCAAUUGAUUUAACUAGUCCUCGAAUGGACAGCGAACUUUUACCUGCAGGGCCAAAUGUAUUGAGACACACUAAACUAUAUUUUAUCAUUUCCUUUGCAUUUCUGAAAUUGGAUGCUACCAAGUUUGGAUAAGGUCCCAUUCCAUUGCCAGUGCACAGACCGGUCCCCCCGGGCAUGCUUGGAUGAGUUUGAUGUGGAAGACAUCUGAUCUCAAGACCCAGAAAUACCUUUGGGAUGAACUAGAACAGAGCCUGAGAAUAAGCAGGCUUUCUCUCAGGUCUAAUAUUAGUGAAGAAUCCCCAGAGUAGAUGCUGAUAUAUUGUAGCUUUUUUUAUGUUUACAUGAAGGCAUGACAUGUCCCACUACUUUUGCCAGUGUUUCACCACCAAAAACUGAGGGCCUGUUUUUAUCUUGAAUAUAAAUCAUUAUCAUUUUUACACAUAGACGGAAGUACAUUUUUGAAUUGGAUUUGCAUCCUCUACAUUUCACCUGUCACCUCAAACCCGAGAGAAUAACCAGCCUCUCCUGCUUGAUGAAUCUAUAGAAGUGUGUACUUCAUGUUGUACGUGGGUAUGCAUCUGCGUUGUAUUAAAAUCACAGCGACACGGCUUCCUGAAGGACACGUUUGCUGACAAUGCCUCAGCAAGGACACGGUAUUAUUUUCCUAGCGUCCUGUCUUUUUUCCAUCCUCUAUCUCCGUGGAAGCAUGAGGGGAAUGGGACUCGAAGGAAGAUGACUAAGACAGACGCCAAACUUGAUAAAGGGGUGCUCUUGCCAUAAAGGGGCUCAAUCGGGUCCAACCAGGCUACUGUGAGUUGGAUGGGAUCGUCUUCUUUUUGUCAGCCACGAUGUCUACAAUGAGCCACUAAUAGGGGGGACUUGGAUUUCCCUAAGUGACACUGAUUAAUAAUGAGAAUUAAGGCAGAUCUCUCUAUCCCUUAUCAGUGCAAGAAUUUAAUUAUGCCUUUAAGUCUGACAGGAGACGUACACUGAAAAUAUUUUUUUUUUGUAGCGCUUACGUUUCAGAUUGAUAUAAAAAAGAAAAUUGGCGUUGAGAGUGUAGUUUGAUUGGAGGAAAGAAUGAACUGGCCAUCACAUGCCUCCAAUUACACGCAGAAAGUUCUCAUACAUGGCGCCGACGAAAAUGCUGGCAUACCCUGAUUAUGGUGCAUGGACAAGGCUCGCUGUACCACUUGGCUGGAUUCUACUGCUGUCGUUGUGCUUUAUCUCAACCACAGUUUGUUUAUUUGAGUUAUUUGGCUACUCCAGAAAGAGGUAUAGUUGAAUGCUAGAGGAUGAUCAUUUCCGAUUCAAAGUUGGCUUUAUCUUGAUCACUUUGCCCCUCCUCCCGCUCCGUACUGAAACGAUGGCCAUGCUGUAUGUGGAUGACUGUUAACAUAAAAUUUCAAAUUAAUUCCUUUCACAUUUACUCACGGUUGUAGAAAAGUUACGUUAAUUACCGGUAUGUUCUUUCCAAGACUUUUACUCACUUGAAAAAUAUGUGGAUUCAAACAAAAUGUCCGGAGUUAUUCAACACAACAAGUACACGAAAUAAAAGCUGAAAUUCUGAACGUCUGAGUGAUAUUUUUUCAUACAACAAAAACAAAUGAAUUGACCUUGCCAUGCCAAUACUGUUAGAGGGAACUGAAUUCCUCAAACACAAUUAAUCAAAUGAGCUUCUCCAUAUCGUCUUACAAAACUUAUUCGUAGAUUGUUGACAAGUUAAAAUGGGGGAGGAGGCUGGAAGAAGGCGGGACACAAAAAGUAGCGGCUGCUUCAUCCUCUCAUUGUCACGUUGACCUUCCCUCUGCCCUCCCACUCAGGAAUCACACUGACCUCCAUUCACCGCAUACUAACGAGGGCUCUGUCACCCCACGAUACCCACACACAGCCAACUGUACCACUUCAACACACACACACACACACACACGAAACACUCUGGUUCACUUUUCUCUCAUUCCACUCACAAGCCAUGUUUUCAUGUGGGCAGCCAUGUAAACAAUAUCUCCUCUAUCCCUUUAUUACCGCAACACACACAUGUAAGCAGACGGUGAUGCAGAACCACGUUCAGUUGAAAACAAUCUUGAUAUCAACUGGAAGUCUUUUUAACGUGUUUUGGAUUUUAGUAUUAUUCAUGCUUUUAAUUCUAUAUUCAACUAUUCGUCCAUUAGUUUUCUGUCGCUUAUCCUGUAGGGUCAUGAACGGGUUGGAGCUAUAUAACGAAACCAACGUUUCUACGCUUUUAUAUUUCUUGCUUUAAAGCUAUGAAAAACAAAUGUGCAAUUUUUCAACUCACCAAAUUUGUAUUUGCUUGUAGUUACAUUAUUAUUGGACAGCGACCAUGUAUGAAAUAUGCUCCUUUUUAUUUAAUUCACGACUAAAUUUUUCCAGGGUGAAGUUUGAUCCAGGCACGCAAAAAUGAAUGUUUAAUGGGAAUGUGCAUGUUUUUUCUCACCUCAGCACUUUACUGUAUUAUAUAUAAGCUUUCAUAUAGGGGCAUGCAUAGUGUGUCCACCCAUGCACUAUACACACACACCCAGCUAUUAGACGUCGCCCCAUGAAUCACUUUAGCCUGCUUUGAACAUGCAUGUGUGCACAUACUGUAUUCACACAAGCGCAAAUGCCCAUAGGGGCAAAUAUUUUCAACAUUACACACUCGUAUUGGCUGUCGAAAAAUAUAUUCCACCCCCCUUGACUGACUUUAUCAUGAGCAUACUAAGAAUUGCUAACAGCCCUCCCUCUCUUUUCUUUCUCCCCGACCAACACACACAUACACAAACACACACACACACACGCUUUAUACUUUCUGUACAGUGUAAGGGACAUCUGCCAGAGUGCCUACGUACGUCCCUCCCGUCCAUUAUAAUGCACACAUUGUGGUGAAAUCCCUGUAGAUGUGAAGUGGGCUGACAAGCGCCUCUCUGUGCCUGAGGUCCCGCCUCAUAAGCCAUUGUAAGCCUUUCCAUAUCACAAUAUAGCCCCCCCCCCCCCCCUCUCUACAUGGCAGGAUAUGGGUUAAUGGGUCAAAGGGACAGAGCGCUGCUGUGCAUUACAUAGGAAUUAUGACUCGGUCUCCUCUCAUCUUGCAUAUUUGCCGUAAUCACCUGCAGAUUAUCCGACGAUGAAUCCCGGCCUUAAUCAAAGUAAGCUUAGGGAGAGUAGACAAGGCGUGUUGACAUGUUACGGUGUAGCCUAAACACGGCUGGGAUGGGCUGAACGCUAAUCACACACAUGGAAACACUGCGGUCGUGUUAUCUGAGCACGUCUCUCAAACAAGGGCGAGCUAUCUGAAAACAAGUCGAGCAGCUACCGGUACUCUGGGUUGUCGUCUGAAACAAGCAGAACAGUCCAGCUGCGAUCGAUUCUAUUCCCUAAGAAUGAAAUAACCUGGGUGAAUGAGAAUAUUCACAGGCAUCCUCUUGUGGAGUUGCAUAAGGAUGAUUAUUUCACUGAAAUGAUGCAAACAAGCUUGAAUGUACGAGCAGGUGACAGAACCAUCUGAAAUCCAUCAGGCUUUACCUAACCAAUCAGCAGUUAUUAUUAAUAAUAACAACAAUAACGAUUUAUAGUAAAAUGAAAACGUCAUCAAAUAAACAAAAAGGUCGGUAAUGUAUGUGCGUGUGUGUGUGUGUGUGUGUGUGUGUGUGUGUGUGUGUGUGUGUGUGUGUAGUUUAUUUCUGUCAUAGCGUUUCUUGCAAUUUCUGUGUUUGAAAAACCUGUUUAUUUCCCUUUUAAAUUAUACCCCUCUGAUUUGCUGGCGACCACUCUGCCUCUCCCUCAGUCAUGCGGGACCGUCUCCAGAUCACCCCCGACGCUAAUGAGGGUUAAGCGGUAUAGUAGAAAAGGAACGCAUGCGUUAUAGCCCAUUUUUAAGGCGCAUGGACGGAUAUGCAUUGUAUUCCAUGUAAAAUGGUUUCAAAUCUUCACUCCCAAUGCCAAAGAGAUUAUUCUUCUGUUGCUGUUGACAGUUCUUUGGUGGAUUGGACCACAGUUAUCAUAAGUUUAUCAGUAACAA